AGAAGUUGUCGCUCAAUUCGAACAAAUCAUCUCAGGGGUAUUGUUCCUGCUGCAGUUUGGGGUUUGAGUGAUUGAUUUGAGGACGUUGAAGUUCAAUUGCUUUGGGAGUCAUUUCUGUUGAGAAGAGAUGGAGCUAUCCCUGGUCUCACUUGAAAGAAACCUCCUUAAAGGGAUGAAGAAGCCGUGAAGAAAUCAACGCUGGUCUGCGCCGAAACAUUGAAGCUGAAUUACCAUCAUUCAGCUAACAUAUACUUUUUAUGUCCCUUUUCUCUUACACAGAACGAGGCAAUCCAAGGAUCUUUUCUAGAAGCAUACUACACCACAGUAAGGACUGCUGCCUUCUUCCUUGCCUAGCAGUUUUUGGUUUCUCAACUUUCUCUCUAUUUACUUUCCUUGCUGCUGCCUCCAUGCACUUUGGCAUCCGUUGCUGUGACAGGCAAGCAGAAAAACAUGGAACUACAUCAUCAUCAUCAGCACCAUUGUCAGCUGCUAAAUAGAAAAACAAUUGAAUUGAAAUAGCUAUGUUAUAUAGCUUUUGCUAGACUAAUCAAUUUCGUGCAGCUGCAACUACAACUCCAAUCGGAGCCGUCACUUUUUUGAACCAACACUAGCAUUUUACAAAGCUGCAACUGAAACAACCAACUGGAGUACUUUGUACAAACUGACUCCUUAAAUUCACUCCAGCAGCUCCUUUUGAUAGAUUAACCUAUCUCUUAUAUCCUUUUUGUAAAGCUACAACUAGAAUAGCUAGCCUUUUUGUGCAGCUAGCAUGUUUGCAUCAUCUCCUUUCAAAUAGACUGCAGCUAAAAUCUAAGAUGUAUGAAAACUGUUUUCACUAUUUGAAUGAAAUGUGAUGAUUUUCCUUUUGUA